rnacentral:rRNA from 2 species
GGGGGAUAUUGCGCAAUGGGGGCAACCCUGACGCAGCAACGCCGCGUGAAGGAUGAAGGUUUUCGGAUUGUAAACUUCUUUUAUUAAGGACGAAAAAUGACGGUACUUAAUGAGUAAGCUCCGGCUAACUACGUGCCAGCAGCCGCGGUAAUACGUAGGGAGCAAGCGUUGUCCGGAUUUACUGGGUGUAAAGGGUGCGUAGGCGGCUUUGCAAGUCAGAUGUGAAAUCUAUGGGCUCAACCCAUAAACUGCAUUUGAAACUGUAGAGCUUGAGUGAAGUAGAGGCAGGCGGAAUUCCCCGUGUAGCGGUGAAAUGCGUAGAGAUGGGGAGGAACACCAGUGGCGAAGGCGGCCUGCUGGGCUUUAACUGACGCUGAGGCACGAAAGCGUGGGUAGCAAACAGGAUUAGAUACCCUGGUAGUCCACGCUGUAAACGAUGAUUACUAGGUGUGGGGGGUCUGACCCCUUCCGUGCCGGAGUUAACACAAUAAGUAAUCCACCUGGGGAGUACGGCCGCAAGGUUGAAACUCAAAGGAAUUGACGGGGGCCCGCACAAGCAGUGGAGUAUGUGGUUUAAUUCGAAGCAACGCGAAGAACCUUACCAGGUCUUGACAUCCAACUAACGAAGUAGAGAUACAUUAGGUGCCCUUCGGGGAAAGUUGAGACAGGUGGUGCAUGGUUGUCGUCAGCUCGUGUCGUGAGAUGUUGGGUUAAGUCCCGCAACGAGCGCAACCCUUGCUAUUAGUUGCUACGCAAGAGCACUCUAAUAGGACUGCCGUUGACAAAACGGAGGAAGGUGGGGACGACGUCAAAUCAUCAUGCCCCUUAUGACCUGGGCUACACACGUACUACAAUGGAUGUUAACAGAGGGAAGCAAGACAGCGAUGUGGAGCAAACCCCUAAAAACAUUCUCAGUUCAGAUUGCAGGCUGCAACCCGCCUGCAUGAAGAUGGAAUUGCUAGUAAUCGCGCAUCAGCCACGGCGCGGUGAAUACGUUCCCG